GAUGAACGCUGGCGGCGUGCCUAAUACAUGCCAGUCGAGCGAACGGACGAGAAGCUUGCUUCUCUGAUGUUAGCGGCGGACGGGUGAGUAACACGUGGAUAACCUACCUAUAAGACUGGGAUAACUUCGGGAACCCGGAGCUCAUACCGGAUAAUAUUUUGAACCGCAUGGUUCAAAAGUGAAAGACGGUCUUGCUGUCACUUAUAGAUGGAUCCGCGCUGCAUUAGCUAGUUGGUAAGGUAACGGCUUACCAAGGCAACGAUGCAUAGCCGACCUGAGAGGGUGAUCGGCCACACUGGAACUGAGACACGGUCCAGACUCCUACGGGAGGCAGCAGUAGGGAAUCUUCCGCAAUGGGCGAAAGCCUGACGGAGCAACGCCGCGUGAGUGAUGAAGGUCUUCGGAUCGUAAAACUCUGUUAUUAGGGAAGAACAUACGUGUAAGUAACUGUGCACAUCUUGACGGUACCUAAUCAGAAAGCCACGGCUAACUACGUG
rnacentral:rRNA from 1 species